rnacentral:tRNA from 1 species
CCGGGCUUAGCGCAGUUGGUAGCGCGCAUGGUUUGGGUCCAUGAAGUCGGGAGUUCAAAUCUCUCAGCUCGGACCA